rnacentral:rRNA from 1 species
GACAGAGGGUGCAACCGUUGUUCGGAAUUACUGGGCGUAAAGCGUGUGUAGGCGGCUUUGCAAGUCGGAUGUGAAAGCCCCGGGCUCAACCCGGGAAGUGCACUCGAUACUGCAGAGCUUGAGUAUCGGAGAGGUUGGUGGAAUUCUCGGUGUAGAGGUGAAAUUCGUAGAUAUCGAGAGGAACACCGGUGGCGAAGGCGGCCAACUGGACGAAUACUGACGCUGAGACACGAAAGCGUGGGGAGCAAACAGG